CAUCCACUGUUUAGAUCUUGGUGCUUUUUAACUCUAGAUUUGAACCGGAUGAAGGAUUUUAGUCAUCGGACGUCUGGAUCUUAAGUUAUCAGAGAAACAAGCUGAGCUAACGUUAGCAGCAGCUCGGCUCGCAGCCCCUCCGGGACGUCCUUUGUCUGUCCAACAGCGUGGGAGAAGCAGUGAUUGUUAAGGUGGAACUGCUUUAUUCAGUGUGUUUAAGGUGGAACUGCUUUAUUCAGCGUGUUUAAGGUGGAACUGCUUUAUUCAGUGUGUUUAAGGUGGAACUGCUUUAUUCAGUGAUUGUUAAGGUGGAACUGCUUUAUUUAGUGUGUUAAGGUGGAACUGCUUUAUUCAGUGUGUUUAAGGUGGAACUGCUUUAUUCAGUGUGUUUAAGGUGGAACUGCUUUAUUCAGUGAUUGUUAAGGUGGAACUGCUUUAUUCAGUGAUUGUUAAGGUGGAACUGCUUUAUUCAGUGUGUUUAGUGGU